CACGUAGGGGGCAAGCGUUGUCCGGAAUCAUUGGGCGUAAAGAGCUCGUAGGCGGCUCAGUAAGUCGGGUGUGAAACCCUCAGGCUCAACCUGGGGACGCCACCCGAUACUGCUGUGGCUAGAGUCCAGUAGGGGAGUGUGGAAUUCUCGGUGUAGCGGUGAAAUGCGUAGAUAUCGAGAGGAACACCUGCGGCGAAGGCGGGUUGCUGGGCUGACACUGACGCUGAUGCGCGAAAGCCAGGGGAGCGAACGGG
rnacentral:rRNA from 1 species